UUACACAGUAACUCUGGAUGGGCUUUCUGUUUCAUCAUGUGCAGCAGUAAAAGACCUUGGUGUGAUUAUUGACUCCAGUCUUUCUUUUGAAGCUCAUGUAGAUAAUAUUACUAGGAUAGCAUUCUUUCAUCUCAGAAAUAACUGCUAAGAUAAACAGUGGUGUGCUGUAGCAAGCGGUCAGCGGGCAGGAAGCAAGCGGCGAGGGGUGACUGUGACUCAACCUCGACAGAUUGCUGAGAAGUAACUGAGGGGAGAGAGUACAGAUGCCUCUCCUGCAUCAAGUGCUACUGAACCUGAGGAGCCGACCUACCAGCUACCACAGAGAGAGAGACACCCGCCAAGGCGCAUCACCUACGAUCAGCUGGGUACUCCGUCCUGCUAUAGUAUCCAGCCACAGCCGCAGUUGUUGCCUUUCUACCCUGCACCAGGACUGGUCCCAUGGUUGCCACCCUUGCAGCCAUACUACCUUCAGCCACCCUGUAUGUAUGGACUCCAGCAAACGUGAGUUUACAGAUGUGACAUACUGA
ensembl:lncRNA